rnacentral:ncRNA from 1 species
UACCUGGUUGAUCCAGCCAGUAGUCAUAUGCUUGUCUCAAAGAUUAAGCCAUGCAUGUAUAAGUAUGAACAAAUUCAGACUGUGAAACU